AUUGAACGCUGGCGGCAUGCCUUACACAUGCAAGUCGAACGGCAGCACGGGAGCAAUCCUGGUGGCGAGUGGCGAACGGGUGAGUAAAGUAUCGGAACGUGCCCAGUCGUGGGGGAUAACGUAGCGAAAGUUACGCUAAUACCGCAUACGAUCUAUGGAUGAAAGCGGGGGAUCGCAAGACCUCGCGCGAUUGGAGCGGCCGAUAUCAGAUUAGGUAGUUGGUGGGGUAAAGGCUCACCAAGCCGAGGAUCUGUAGCUGGUCUGAGAGGACGACAAGCCACACUGGGACUGAGACACGGCCCAGACUCCUACGGGAGGCAGCAGUGGGGAAUUUUGGACAAUGGGCGCAAGCCUGAUCCAGCCAUGCCGCGUGCAGGAUGAAGGCCUUCGGGUUGUAAACUGCUUUUGUACGGAACGAAAAGGUUUGGCCUAAUAAGCUGAGCUCAUGACGGUACCGUAAGAAUAAGCACCGGCUAACUACGUGCCAGCCGCCGCUGUAA
rnacentral:rRNA from 1 species